GACGAACGCUGGCGGCGUGCUUAACACAUGCAAGUCGAACGGAAAGGCCCUGCUUGCAGGGUACUCGAGUGGCGAACGGGUGAGUAACACGUGGGUGAUCUGCCCUGCACUUCGGGAUAAGCUUGGGAAACUGGGUCUAAUACCGGAUAGGAGCCAUCUUUAGUGUGGGGGUUGGAAAGUUUUUUCGGUGUAGGAUGAGCUCGCGGCCUAUCAGCUUGUUGGUGGGGUAAUGGCCUACCAAGGCGGCGACGGGUAGCCGGCCUGAGAGGGUGUACGGCCACAUUGGGACUGAGAUACGGCCCAGACUCCUACGGGAGGCAGAAGUGGGGAAUAUUGCACAAUGGGCGCAAGCCUGAUGCAGCGACGCCGCGUGGGGGAUGAAGGCCUUCGGGUUGUAAACUCCUUUCGCUAGGGACGAAGCUUUGUUGUGACGAUACCUAGAGAAGAAGCACCGGCUAACUACGUG
rnacentral:rRNA from 1 species